rnacentral:rRNA from 1 species
UACGUAGGGUGCAAGCGUUGUCCGGAAUUAUUGGGCGUAAAGAGCUCGUAGGCGGUUUGUUGCGUCGGCUGUGAAAUCCCGAGGCUCAACCUCGGGUCUGCAGUCGAUACGAGCAAACUAGAGUGUUGCAGGGGAGACUGGAAUUCCUGGUGUAGCGGUGAAAUGCGCAGAUAUCAGGAGGAAUACCGGUGGCGAAGGCGGCAUCCUGGACCGACAUUGACGCUGAUGAGCGAAAGCCAGGGGAGCAAACGGG